CCUACGGGAGGCAGCAGUGGGGAAUAUUGCACAAUGGGGGAAACUCUGAUGCAGCAAUGCCGCGUGCGUGAAGAAGUAUCUCUGUAUGUAAAGCUCUAUUAGCAGGGAAGAAGAUGACGGUACCUGAGUAAGAAGCCCCGGCUAACUACGUUCCAGCAGCCGCGGUAAUACGGAGGAGGCAAGCGUUAUCCGGAUUUUCUGGGUGUAAAGGGAGCGUAGGCGGUGGGACAAGUCCGAAGUGAAAGCCCGGGGCUCAACCCCGGGACUGCCUUUGAAACUGCCUGACUGGAGUGCAGGUGAGGCAAGCGGAAUGCAUGGUGUAGCGGUGAAAUGCGUAGAGAUCAGAAAGAACACCAGUGGCGAAGGCAGCUUACUAAGCAAUAACUGACGUUGAGGCUCGAAAGCGUGGGGAGCAAACAGGAUUAGAUACCCGAGUAGUC
rnacentral:rRNA from 1 species